rnacentral:rRNA from 1 species
AUGAACGCUAGCGACAGGCCUAACACAUGCAAGUCGAGGGCAGCACAAGGAGCAAUCUGAGGUGGCGACCGGCGCACGGGUGAGUAACACGUAUGCAACCUGCCUGUAAGCGGGGAAUAACCCGUUGAAAGACGGACUAAUACCGCAUAAUACUAAAUUACUGCAUGGUAAUUUAUUUAAACAUUUAUGGCUUACAGAUGGGCAUGCGCAUGAUUAGCUAGUUGGAGAGGUAACGGCUCCCCAAGGCAACGAUCAUUAGGGGUUCUGAGAGGAAGGUCCCCCACACUGGUACUGAGACACGGACCAGACUCCUGCGGGAGGCAGCAGUGAGGAAUAUUGGUCAAUGGACGAGAGUCUGAACCAGCCAAGUCGCGUGCAGGAAGAAUGUUCCCUAUGGAUUGUAAACUGCUUUUGCAGGGGAAUAAAGUGCAUCACGUGUGAUGUUUUGUAUGUACUCUGCGAAUAAGGAUCGGCUAACUCCGUGCCAGCCGCUGC